rnacentral:rRNA from 1 species
AUACGUAGGAGGCGAGCGUUAUCCGGAUUUACUGGGCGUAAAGGGCGUGUAGGCGGCUUCUUAAGUUGGCAGUGAAAGGUCCCGGCUCAACUGGGAUUUGCCUGUCAAUACUGGGGAGCUUGAGGGCAUCAGAGGAAAGCGGAACUCGCGGUGUAGCGGUGAAAUGCGUAGAUAUCGCGAGGAACACCAGUGGCGAAGGCGGCUUUCUGGGGUGUUCCUGACGCUGAGGCGCGAAAGCGUGGGGAGCGAAGCGGAUUAGAUACCCGCGUAGUCCACGCCAUAAACGGUGGAUACUGGGUAUGGGGGGUAUCGACCCCCUCCGUGCCGAAGCUAACGCUUUAAGUAUCCCGCCUGGGAACUACGGUCGCAAGACUAAA